AAAUACCAAAAUGACACAAACUAACACUUUGCAAAGAUUUAUUGGGUGAGGUUUUUGUUAAGCUUCUCUUGUAUAUAAGCGCAGCGUGCCUCUUUUCUUUGUGGUAAAGAAACCGACAUCAAGAUGUUCAAAUCGUUAGUUUUCGUUGCACUGUUUGCCUUUGCUUUGGCCGCGCCGGCUCCUGAACCAGAAGCCAAGCCGGAUGUAGCCUUGAUCAGCCCCGUUGUACCCAUCGUAACUUCACAUCACUCGGCGGUGGUACCUCUGGUGCCCUACAGCGUCCUACAUUCCCCGCACGUAGUUUAUCCAAACUAUUACGUAUAUUAAGAUGAUGCAACUCAUUGAAUGAUUCUACAUAAUUUCUAAGACCAAAUAUAAUUAAAUAAUACCCAAAACCACUUGAUCAUUGAACGUAAAUUUGUAAACUGUUUCUGUGAAGGUAAAUGUUACAUAAUAAUAGGUAGCAACUUCAUAUCUCUAUCUCAUACUUUUUGUUUAAACCUGAAAAUAUAAAAGUCAGAGUACAGGGUGUCUGUUGAAA